CUACGGGGGGCUCCAGUGGGGAAUAUUGCACAAUGGGGGAAACCCUGAUGCAGCAACGCCGCGUGGAGGAUGACGCAUUUCGGUGUGUAAACUCCUUUUAUAUAGGAAGAUAAUGACGGUACUAUAUGAAUAAGCACCGGCUAACCCCGUGCCAGCAGCCGCGGUAAUACGGAGGGUGCAAGCGUUACUCGGAAUCACUGGGCGUAAAGCGCGCGCAGGCGGCCUUUUAAGUUGGAUGUGAAAGCCUAUGGCUUAACCAUAGAACUGCAUCCAAAACUAUCAGGCUAGAGUCUGGGAGGGGAAGAUGGAAUUAGUUGUGUAGGGGUAAAAUCCGUAGAGAUAACUAGGAAUACCAAAAGCGAAGGCGAUCUUCUGGAACAGUACUGACGCUGAGGCGCGAAAGCGCGGGGAGCAAACAGGAUUAGAUACCCUGGUAGUC
rnacentral:rRNA from 1 species